GGACGAACGCUGGCGGCGUGGAUUAGGCAUGCAAGUCGGACGGUAGGGCUUUAUCGUAAGAUAGAGUUUGAGAGUGGCGAACGGGUGAGUAACACGUAGGAAUCUACCCUUAAGACGGGGGACAACCCAGGGAAACUUGGGCUAAUACCGGAUGAGAGUGCGAGAGAUUGCAUUUAAAAGGAUGGCGAAAGUUGUCGCUUAGGGAUGAGCCUGCGGUCUAUUAGUUAGUUGGUGAGGUAAGAGCUCACCAAGGCGAUGAUAGAUAGGCGGCCUUAACGGGUGGUCGCCCACACUGGGAUUGAGAUACGGCCCAGACUCCUACGGGAGGCAGCAGUCGAGAAUAGUCUACAAUGGCCGGAAGGCUGAUAGUGCGACGCCGCGUGAACGAUGAAUCCCUUCGGGGUGUAAAGUUCUUUUAUAUGUGAGCAGUGCUUCUUAUAUUAACAGUAUGGGGAGAGAGAUAUUAGCGUAUGAAUAAGCAACGGCUAACUCCGUG
rnacentral:rRNA from 1 species